CUGAAAGCACCGGCUCUCCUCCGAUCAUCGAAGUUAAACAUCAUUGAGCGUGGUCAGUACUUGGGAGAGUAACCACCUGAAAAC